rnacentral:rRNA from 1 species
UACGUAGGGCGCAAGCGUUAUCCGGAAUUAUUGGGCGUAAAGAGCCCGUAGGCGGUUUGUCGCGUCUGCCGUGAAAGUCCGGGGCUCAACCCCGGAUCUGCGGUGGGUACGGGCAGACUAGAGUGAUGUAGGGGAGACUGGAAUUCCUGGUGUAGCGGUGAAAUGCGCAGAUAUCAGGAGGAACACCGAUGGCGAAGGCAGGUCUCUGGGCAUUAACUGACGCUGAGGAGCGAAAGCAUGGGGAGCGAACAGG